CCCUGCCAUUUGUACACACCGCCCGUCGCUGCCCGGAACUGAGCCAUUUCGAGAAAAAUGGGGACAGACUGCUUGUGGGUGCGCAAGCACUUCUUGCAGACUGAAACCAUCUUGAUCGGUAUGGCUUG
rnacentral:rRNA from 1 species